UGAAGUAAUUUGAGCAAAGUUCUCACUGUUUAGUAAUGUAUACAUUGUUUAAGGUACAUUUUAAUUUCACAUUUUGUAGGUGGACUUCAAUAUGUAUGAUCUACUUAUGCUGCCACAAUGUAAAGGCAACAAUCACUGGGUUUUGCUGGUUGCAAGUGUUAUGUCCAGGACUGUAACCAUUUACGACUCAUUGGGUGGUAACAACAAGGCCUUGUUCGAUUUGUUCUGCCAGUUCAUGUGUCAACGAGGGCAAAUUGUGAAAGAUGGCUUGGAAAAAAUCAGUUCAGAGUUAAAAGCGCCACCUUGCAACAAACAGCGCCACGGAAACAGCUGUGGAGUGUUUGCAUUGAUGACUGCCAAAUGUUU